AGGGCGCCCGCUGGGCGGAUUCUGGUCUCCAAAACCGGAAGCGGAGGGUUCGAUCCCCUCGCGCCCUG
rnacentral:tRNA from 1 species